ACUACGGGAGGCAGCAGUAGGGAAUCUUCCACAAUGGGCGAAAGCCUGAUGGAGCAACGCCGCGGGGGUGAAGAAGGUCUUCAGAUCGUAAAACCCUGUUGUUAGAGAAGAAAGUGCGUGAGAGUAACUGUUCACGGUUCGACGGUAUCUAACCAGAAAGCCACGGCUAACUACGUGCCAGCAGCCGCGGUAGUACGUAGGUGGCAAGAGUUAUCCGGAUUUAUUGGGCGUAAAGGGAACGUAGGCGGUCUUUUAAGGCUGAUGUGAAAGCCU
rnacentral:rRNA from 1 species